GGCGCCAGCGCUGUGUGCCUUUGCGAGGGCGGAGCUGCGGUCUCCUCAGCACAGACCCGGAGAGCAUUGCGAGGGCGGAGCUGAGUUCUCCUCUGCAGACUUCGGAGAUACAGCGAAGGCAGAGCAAUGUUCUCCUCAGCAGAGACGCGGGCGGGCGGGCCGGUGGCACCGCGAGGGCGGAGCUGCGUUCUGCUCUGCACAGACCUUGGGGGCACUGCCUCGCUUUGGGACAACUCAGGGCCGCAUGGACAGUGAAUAAAAUCCUUCCUGUUUGCAGCCCUGUUUGUGGUUGGUGGCAGCGAUGGACACUGCAGCCAGCCAGAGCGUAGAAAGGCGUCGGGUGAAAGAAGAUGGCCACGGAGACAGACAGCAGCGUGGUCAGAGUGGUAGGAGCCGGCCAUCAGCGAGAGCUGCUCCAUGCCUGGCUGCUGGGUCCUAGAGCCUGUGGCCCACUGGCUUGCCUCACUGUGGUUGGUGGUGGUGGUGACAGAGACUGCAGGACGACCAGAGUGGCUUUUCUGGUUUUGCCCGCCCAGCUGCUCUGUGCCAGGAGGAGGAGGAGACACCUAGAGCCUGCGACACCAUGGCUCGCCUCGCUGCGGGUGGGCGGCAGUGACAGAGACUGCGGUGCGCCAGAGCGGUAGGAGAGCGGCUGCGCUAGGAGGGCAGGCGGCUGCAGCCAGGGUUGGGGGUCAGGCUUAGAGCGAUGGACGGGCUGCAGCAGUGGCCAGGUGGUAGGAGCCUUGUAGGGAGGGCUGGUGCCUUGGCAAUGGGCCUGGCUUUGCCCUGCGCCUGCCGUGGAUCUGGCCCUGUACUGCCCUGCCUUGCCCUGUACCUGCCCUACUGUUACUUGGACUCUCGGCCCUGUCCUGCUCUGGUCCCAUCCUGACCCUGUCUUGGCCCUGUGCUACCCUGUCCCUGCCCUGGUCUUGCCCUGGCACUGGCCCUGCCCUGAACCUGCACUGGCCUGACCUUGGCUCUGGCCCUGGCUCUGGCCCUGCCUCUUGUCCUGACCCUGGUCGUGUCAUGGCACUGGCCCUGCCAAUGGUCAUGGUCCUGCUCCUGUUCUGGCCCUGACCUGGCCUUGGACAUGUCCUGGCCCUGCUUUGGCCCAUCCCUGCCCUGGCUCCACCAUGGGCCUGCCUGUUCUGCCCUCUCCUGGCACUGACCUUGCCCUGUCAUGGCCCAGUGGUGCCAUUGCCCUGCCUUACCCUGCGCUGGUUGUGACUUGGCCCCGCUUGGUGCUGGCCACUCCCUGGACCUGCCCUGGACCUGCCCUGACCCUGCCCUUGGCUUUUGCCCUGCCCUCACUAUGGCCUGGCCCUGGCCCUAGCCCUGGUCCUGCCAUAUCCCUGGCCCUGCCCUUAUCCAGGCCCUGCCCCUGCUGCUGC
rnacentral:lncRNA from 1 species